rnacentral:rRNA from 1 species
UACGUAGGGUGCGAGCGUUAAUCGGAAUUACUGGGCGUAAAGAGUGCGUAGGCGGUUCGUUAAGUCAGCUGUGAAAGCCCCGGGCUCAACCUGGGAACUGCGGUUGAAACUGGCGAACUAGAAUCUGGCGGAGGGGGGUGGAAUUCCACGUGUAGCAGUGAAAUGCGUAGAGAUGUGGAGGAACACCGAUGGCGAAGGCAGCCCCCUGGGCUGAGAUUGACGCUCAGGCACGAAAGCGUGGGGAGCAAACAGG